rnacentral:misc_RNA from 1 species
GGGAGAGGGACAAGGAAUGUGCUCUUCAUGCAUCCCCUUCUGGUCUAUCUUCCAAACAAACAGAAACAGAAUUUUCCCUUCUUCUACCUUUUGCCAGGCAAAGCUGUAGGAAAAGAGAAUAUGCUCAAGCAAUGUGGAAUCAACACCUGCCGCCUAGUUUCUCUUCGGACAUUUGCCUUGUUAACAUUUCUAAGACAGGCCGAAAUCUGCCCGCUAACAGUCACUUCGUUCAAAAUUCAUUUAGAAAAUAUAACCAAAUAAAAAUUCAUUAUAGAAAUUAGAAUCGGUUCUGCAUUGUCAUGCUGCCAAGUGCAAAGUCUGCCUCGAACUAGAAUGAGAAUCAAAUUUAAGGAUGAUUCCAUUGGCAGAGGACAUUAAGAACACCUGGCUCCAAAAAGAGAGAUUUGGGCAGUCUCUACUUUCUAAGUUACAUUGGAAUGACGGUAACAUAUAUGAUUUGGCCAGAGGACAGUCCCUUGCCUCCGCUGCCAAAUAUUGACAAUAUUUAUUCUCCGUAGUCUCGACAAUUUACCUAAUCAACUUUGUACUCAUCUGUUUGACUUUUACUGAUUCUUCACUUGCAAUCAUGUCCGCCCUAAAUCACAUAUGGGGACCAAUUACCAAAAUCAAACCUUGGUGGGUAAGAGAGAAGGGACGAGUCAGCUUUUGCGCACCCUGGCUGAUAUCAUCCUGCGCUCAGGAUUCAAUGUUCAACAUUACAAUUUUGGAGCGGUUAAGCACUGAACAUUGAACAAGAGGUUUCAAAGCCCACCAGAGAUAUAACUAGAAAUGGGCUUCCUUCACCAAGGCCCAAUCAAACUUACAUGUCUUGUGUGAAGUCUGCAUCCAGAAUAGAAAAGCAUCAUCAACUUAAUCGGCAUUUAAAGUUGAGGGAAAUUAUUAAUAGGAAUCGCCAGGAGGGGGAAAAAAAGUUAUCCCCAUAUUGAGAAUAUACGUGGUUGUGGCAGUUAUGAUAUUGAAAAUUAUCUUCAAAUAAAAUUGAGCAAGGCAAAAGAAUUAACAUACAUCCUGAUGAUCUUGGUAGAAGAUUAUCAAGCAGAGACUUACACAAGCAGUGGUGUCAAAUGGCAUUAUUCUUAUCAUAUUCCUUCUCUUUCUGAAACCGAAAGACAAUAUCCAGUCAUCAAAAUGCCAAAAACAUGGCCCAGUAUCCAAAAAUGAAAUAUACUAACUAAAACUUAACCUGGCACUUCUGAUCUGAGGUAUUUGCCUGAGUUGUUGAGCACUCAGAAUCUAAGUGUGUUGUUGCAAUAAACUGUACGUAAUGAAACAUAUAGAGUUGUUAACAGUUUAAAAGUUUUCUAAUCUUGGAGAUCCCAUCCAGUUUUCUUCUAAGCAAUGGUUGGCUAAUGAAAAAAAAUAAAUAUAUGACCUUGAUUACCAAUUUUAUUAUGUCCAAUUUGGAAGAAAUCAAUGGCUAGUUUCUUCAUUGUAAACAUAUUAAUAUUUCUUACCUUCCCAUUUUUUUCUGCAAUGCUUGGACCAUUAACUGCAGAUUGAAGUUCAGAGCAAGGUGAGUGCAGUGCAGAAGAAGCAGACUCUGACACACAGGAGUUUAAAUGAUUGUUUUCUUGCAGGAGGUUACCAACUGAGUGCUGCACCUGACAUGUAAGCAAAGCUGCACGAAAAAUUUAGCGACCCAUUCUUGCUACAUCUCAUGUUUUUGUCUUCAACUUGUAUUAAAGAAUCACUUGGUAGAAUGUAGCCAGGCAU